rnacentral:lncRNA from 1 species
AUCACAAGUAGUAGCAGCAUCACAAGUUGACAAAAUCACAAGUAGCAGCAGCAUCACAAGUAGUACAACAGCAGCAACAUCACAAGUAGUACAGCAGCAGCAGUGAAUACAGUUUUUAUAUGAAGUUUCUGAAUUUAUAUGCAAGUUUCUGAAAUUUAUGGAAGUUUCUGAAUUUUAUAUGGAAGUUUCUGAAAUUAUAUGAAAGUUUGUGAAAGGAGAGAAAGGAGAGGAAGUACCCUAGCAAUUUAUGAAAGUGUCUAGUACACUAAACUCCAACUCCAGUACCAGAGGAAAUGGGCAGUAGAUGGGCAUCACUAGACCACCUACAACAGAUGCAACAAAUUACUCCAAUUAAGUUAAAUUACUCCAACUCCUAUUUGCAAGAUCACAAGUACAACAAGCAGUACUCUACUUCUAUUUGCAACAUCACCAGCUGCUCUGGGUACAAGAACAAGCAGUACUAACCAGCCGCUCCUUGGAGUGCAGAUGCAGCUCCAGCUCCUUGACGUGCAGAUGCAACUCUAGGUCCCUGGAACCAACAAACAAAAUUGAUUUGAGCAAACAACAACAAUGAUUUGAGCAAACAACAAAUGCCUAAUGUUGCUACUUUCUCACCUAUCACUACUCUCAGAAUUAAUCUUUGCAACAUACAACCACAAUCUCAACAUGGAGUAUGAGGAAAUAAACCUAUGAAUAGUGUGAACAUAUGACCACAAUAUGAUGAGCAAACAGUGAGCAAGGACCGAAAGUCAAACACGUACAAAGUUAACUAGUACAAGGACUAGUAAACAAGGUGAACACACAAUUAUACUAGCAGAUUACUCAAUCACAGAGCAAGAUUUCGAUGACAGUUAUUUCUCACAGCAUAAAGGAGUCAAAUAGUCUGAAUAUACAAGUCAAGCAUUAUAUAUUGCAAGUACCAAACUGAACAAAUAGCAGUCACUCACAUUUAUCAAAACUGAACAUCACAUAGUACUAAAUAUUACACAGCAAACUUAGAGAAUAAAGAGGGAGAAAGAGAUCACACAUAUAAAUGCACUAUAUCAUACAAGACUAAACAUAUAGCAAUUUCACGUGCUAGUCAGAUCUGAACCUUACAUCAAAUACACUUCUCAAUGUUCACUGAAAUUUAGAGAAUAGAUUGAGAGAGAUAGUAGCAGCAAGAAGUUGAGGUUCAGACUCUGAAGAGGAACAGCAGGGGUGCAAGGAGAUGGAGUAGAAGCAGUAGAGAGCGGCAGCAAGAAGGAUUUAGAGAAGCAGCAGCAAGAUUUGAGGAAGUGGAGUAGCAGCAGUAGGGGCGAGUGGAGAGGAGCAGCAGCGACAGCAGCACGUAGAGCAUCAGAGCAGCGCGGCGACGUAGGCGGUGAGCAGCAGCACUAGCAGCGGCAGGCACGUCCGCCCACAUGCGCAUCGAUGCAGGGGUGCGACUAGGACGACGGUGGGCGCGGCGCUCGCGACGCGCGGGCGUGCAACCACGACAGAGCAGCGACAGCAGGG